GGGUUGUGAGGUUAAGCGACUAAGCGUACACGGUGGAUGCCCUGGCAGUCAGAGGCGAUGAAGGACGUGCUAAUCUGCGAUAAGCGUCGGUAAGGUGAUAUGAACCGUUAUAACCGGCGAUUUCCGAAUGGGGAAACCCAGUGUGUUUCGACACACUAUCAUUAACUGAAUCCAUAGGUUAAUGAGGCGAACCGGGGGAACUGAAACAUCUAAGUACCCCGAGGAAAAGAAAUCAACCGAGAUUCCCCCAGUAGCGGCGAGCGAACGGGGAGCAGCCCAGAGCCUGAAUCAGUGUGUGUGUUAGUGGAAGCGUCUGGAAAGGCGCGCGAUACAGGGUGACAGCCCCGUACACAAAAAUGCACAUGCUGUGAGCUCGAUGAGUAGGGCGGGACACGUGGUAUCCUGUCUGAAUAUGGGGGGACCAUCCUCCAAGGCUAAAUACUCCUGACUGACCGAUAGUGAACCAGUACCGUGAGGGAAAGGCGAAAAGAACCCCGGCGAGGGGAGUGAAAAAGAACCUGAAACCGUGUACGUACAAGCAGUGGGAGCACGCUUAGGCGUGUGACUGCGUACCUUUUGUAUAAUGGGUCAGCGACUUAUAUUCUGUAGCAAGGUUAACCGAAUAGGGGAGCCGAAGGGAAACCGAGUCUUAACUGGGCGUUAAGUUGCAGGGUAUAGACCCGAAACCCGGUGAUCUAGCCAUGGGCAGGUUGAAGGUUGGGUAACACUAACUGGAGGACCGAACCGACUAAUGUUGAAAAAUUAGCGGAUGACUUGUGGCUGGGGGUGAAAGGCCAAUCAAACCGGGAGAUAGCUGGUUCUCCCCGAAAGCUAUUUAGGUAGCGCCUCGUGAAUUCAUCUCCGGGGGUAGAGCACUGUUUCGGCAAGGGGGUCAUCCCGACUUACCAACCCGAUGCAAACUGCGAAUACCGGAGAAUGUUAUCACGGGAGACACACGGCGGGUGCUAACGUCCGUCGUGAAGAGGGAAACAACCCAGACCGCCAGCUAAGGUCCCAAAGUCAUGGUUAAGUGGGAAACGAUGUGGGAAGGCCCAGACAGCCAGGAUGUUGGCUUAGAAGCAGCCAUCAUUUAAAGAAAGCGUAAUAGCUCACUGGUCGAGUCGGCCUGCGCGGAAGAUGUAACGGGGCUAAACCAUGCACCGAAGCUGCGGCAGCGACGCUUAUGCGUUGUUGGGUAGGGGAGCGUUCUGUAAGCCUGUGAAGGUGUGCUGUGAGGCAUGCUGGAGGUAUCAGAAGUGCGAAUGCUGACAUAAGUAACGAUAAAGCGGGUGAAAAGCCCGCUCGCCGGAAGACCAAGGGUUCCUGUCCAACGUUAAUCGGGGCAGGGUGAGUCGACCCCUAAGGCGAGGCCGAAAGGCGUAGUCGAUGGGAAACAGGUUAAUAUUCCUGUACUUGGUGUUACUGCGAAGGGGGGACGGAGAAGGCUAUGUUGGCCGGGCGACGGUUGUCCCGGUUUAAGCGUGUAGGCUGGUUUUCCAGGCAAAUCCGGAAAAUCAAGGCUGAGGCGUGAUGACGAGGCACUACGGUGCUGAAGCAACAAAUGCCCUGCUUCCAGGAAAAGCCUCUAAGCAUCAGGUAACAUCAAAUCGUACCCCAAACCGACACAGGUGGUCAGGUAGAGAAUACCAAGGCGCUUGAGAGAACUCGGGUGAAGGAACUAGGCAAAAUGGUGCCGUAACUUCGGGAGAAGGCACGCUGAUAUGUAGGUGAAGCGACUUGCUCGUGGAGCUGAAAUCAGUCGAAGAUACCAGCUGGCUGCAACUGUUUAUUAAAAACACAGCACUGUGCAAACACGAAAGUGGACGUAUACGGUGUGACGCCUGCCCGGUGCCGGAAGGUUAAUUGAUGGGGUCAGCGCAAGCGAAGCUCUUGAUCGAAGCCCCGGUAAACGGCGGCCGUAACUAUAACGGUCCUAAGGUAGCGAAAUUCCUUGUCGGGUAAGUUCCGACCUGCACGAAUGGCGUAAUGAUGGCCAGGCUGUCUCCACCCGAGACUCAGUGAAAUUGAACUCGCUGUGAAGAUGCAGUGUACCCGCGGCAAGACGGAAAGACCCCGUGAACCUUUACUAUAGCUUGACACUGAACAUUGAGCCUUGAUGUGUAGGAUAGGUGGGAGGCUUUGAAGUGUGGACGCCAGUCUGCAUGGAGCCGACCUUGAAAUACCACCCUUUAAUGUUUGAUGUUCUAACGUGGACCCGUAAUCCGGGUUGCGGACAGUGUCUGGUGGGUAGUUUGACUGGGGCGGUCUCCUCCUAAAGAGUAACGGAGGAGCACGAAGGUUGGCUAAUCCUGGUCGGACAUCAGGAGGUUAGUGCAAUGGCAUAAGCCAGCUUGACUGCGAGCGUGACGGCGCGAGCAGGUGCGAAAGCAGGUCAUAGUGAUCCGGUGGUUCUGAAUGGAAGGGCCAUCGCUCAACGGAUAAAAGGUACUCCGGGGAUAACAGGCUGAUACCGCCCAAGAGUUCAUAUCGACGGCGGUGUUUGGCACCUCGAUGUCGGCUCAUCACAUCCUGGGGCUGAAGUAGGUCCCAAGGGUAUGGCUGUUCGCCAUUUAAAGUGGUACGCGAGCUGGGUUUAGAACGUCGUGAGACAGUUCGGUCCCUAUCUGCCGUGGGCGCUGGAGAACUGAGGGGGGCUGCUCCUAGUACGAGAGGACCGGAGUGGACGCAUCACUGGUGUUCGGGUUGUCAUGCCAAUGGCACUGCCCGGUAGCUAAAUGCGGAAGAGAUAAGUGCUGAAAGCAUCUAAGCACGAAACUUGCCCCGAGAUGAGUUCUCCCUGACCCUUUAAGGGUCCUGAAGGAACGUUGAAGACGACGACGUUGAUAGGCCGGGUGUGUAAGCGCAGCGAUGCGUUGAGCUAACCGGUACUAAUGAACCGUGAGGCUUAACCUUACAACGCCGAAGCUGUU
rnacentral:rRNA from 1 species